rnacentral:rRNA from 1 species
UGGGGAAUUUUGCACAAUGGGGGAAACCCUGAUGCAGCGACGCCGCGUGAUUUAGAAGGCCUUCGGGUUGUAAAAAUCUUUUCUAUGGGAAGAAAAUGACAGUACCAUAGGAAUAAGGACUGGCUAAUUACGUGCCAGCAGCCGCGGUAAUACGUAAGGUCCGAGCGUUGUCCGGAAUCAUUGGGCGUAAAGGGUACGCAGGCGGGUAAGCAAGUUAGAAGUGAAAUCCUGUAGCUCAACUACAGUAAGCUUUUAAAACUGCUCAUCUGGAGAUAUGGAAGGGAAGGUGGAAUUCCUAGUGUAGCGGUGAAAUGCGCAGAUAUUAGGAGGAAUACCGGUGGCGAAGGCGACUUUCUGGCCAUAAUCUGACGCUGAGGCUCGAAAGCGUGGGGAGCGAACAGG